GUAUCUGCCUACGCAAUAUAUGUGAGUUGCAACAAACCCACAUUUUAGUUUUCCCUACAAUUUGUAAGAAAUUCUACACUCUUUAGUUUCUCCUACACUUUCCAAACACUCCGCCCUUUUCUUUUCCCUUUAUUUUUGCCUCUUUCUAAAAACACUCCCACUAUUCUCUCUAUAUUUUCUUCUACUAUCAUGCUCCAUCAUACCCCAAUAUGAAGAGAGCAUCAUAUCCUUCCAUUGCACACAGCCUGCUUGCCCACCAUUAUCACAAACCGCUCCUCUGCCAAUUGCACGCACCUACUCGCACAUCGCCACCGGAUCCAAAUUAGCUGUUGUUAUCUCUUUAUUAGCUGUUAUUAUCUCUUUAUGUUGCACGUCUACCUAUUCGCUGCCGGUUUAGUGAUUUUAACUCUUUAUCCAAGGUGGACGAUGACAUAAGUACAUGACCGUAUGAUCAUUCAAUUCUACACCUCUGAAGUAGCCAUUGAUCACAGGCCGUAUGGGAGGAUGAGCACGUUGAUGCUAUACACGAUAGGCGUUGAGAGGCGGUUCUUUGAUGACAAGAAGAUCCAAAUCAACGUGUUUUUGACUAUUUACGUGCAUCUAGUUUCUAUGAAGUUGCACGUAUUAAAUUUUUGCACUUGAUUGGCACCUCAUCAUCACAUUAGUAGAGCGAUAGCAUCAAGAGACACACACCUUCCAUAUGUUGCAUGGAGAGUGUACAAUCACCUUACAAGACGUAGCUAUCCAGUUCAAGCUUUCCAUUACCAGACGAGCACUUACUGGAUCACUUAACUAUGAUUGGGCCAGUUGUGUUACGAUCUGCUAGGAGUAAAGACAAACGAUAAUAUUCUUAAGGGCGAUCGUCUUAGCUUGCCAUGGUUGGCACAUCAGUUUGACGAUUUUGUCCAUCAUUUUUACAAUGCUAUUGAAAACCAAAUACUGCAGUAUACUCGUGCUUAUAUCCUCACACUUAUCGGUGGAUUGGUAUUUCCUGAUAAAUCCAAUAGUCGGAUGCACUUGAUGUACCUCCCUCUACGGGAAGAUCUUAACAUAACUGAGACAUAUAGUUGGAGAGCUAGAUGUCUUGCAUGGUUGUAUAGACAAUUGUGCAACGCAAUGGUUAUUGAUGGGAAGAACAUUGUAAGCUCUCUUCUAUUGCUAAAAAA